UACGGAGGGUGCGAGCGUUGUCCGGAUUUAUUGGGUUUAAAGGGCGCGUAGGCGGUUUGCACAGUCAGAUGUGAAAUUCCUGGGCUCAACCUGGGGGCUGCAUUUGAUACGUGUAGACUUGAGUGGGGAAGAGGGUCGUGGAAUUCUUGGUGUAGCAGUGAAAUGCGUAGAUAUCAAGAGGAACACCAGUGGCGAAGGCGAGUCCCUGGACGACACCUGACACUGAGGCACGAAAGCUAGGGGAGCAAACAGG
rnacentral:rRNA from 1 species